GGAGUAAAUCAGAUAAUCGCGUAGCAAUACGAGGAAAGUCCGUGCACCACAGAGCAAGGAAGCUAAAUAACGUUUAGUGAAGGCGACUUUAAGGAUAGUGCAACAGAGAUAUACCGCCAUUAUGGCAAGGGUGGAAAGGCGAGGUAAGAGCUCACCAGAGAAUUAGCGAUAAUUCUGCUAUGUAAACCCCUUCCGGUGCAAGAGUAAGUAGGAGAAAAAAGAUGGCUGCUCGUCAUCUUCCAGAAUGGUAACUCGCUUGAAUAUACUGGUGACAGUAUAACUAGAUAGAUGAUUAUCUAAUACAAAACACGGCUUAUAGAUUUACUCUAAAA
rnacentral:RNase_P_RNA from 1 species